ACAGUGCUCAGCACUCAGGAUUGAUCACAUGUACGUUGUGUUCCUGCUAACCAGGCCCUGACUCCCAGCUCACUCCUCCUGUGAAGAGAAGCCCUUUACUCCGUCCUCCUCAGGGAACCCUACAGAAAGCUUCCCACCUGCAGUACCUUUGUGCACCAGCAUGCUUCAAAUGGGUGUCAGGGUUGGCCUCAUUGAUCAGCGUUACAGGAAGGCUUCGAGGUGGCUCCCUGUGACCGUGUUGUGAGCAAACCAUUCCUGGCAUCCCACCUUGCAGAACUUGUGGAGAAGAAACAAAAAUAACCCAUAAUCCCACUGUUUUGAUGCCACUUACUGAUAUUUGAAAAGAGGUAAAAAUAAAAUAUGAAGACAGAAAAUCCCAUCAUGUAUCCAAAGGCAUGAAUGAAAAGAAAGAGCCUUCUACCAGGACCUCCUGCACCACCCAAGAGUGCCAUUUUCUCAGGGGCUGAGAAGAGCCCCUCCAACAGGGCAGUGACCCGCUUGCCACAACCCACCUUGGCAAAAGCAGUGGAUAUGCCCCAGGACUCCAGGAAGCAGUGUGGCCUCAGAGAGCUUGGUGAGAAAUGUGUGUGGGAAGCAAAGGGCAGCUGAUGACUCACUGCAUGCCCUUAACUCAGUCUCUUCGACUCCUGAAGCCUCAGUUUCCCCACCUGGGGUAUGGUGAUAAUCACCCACUCAGCCACGAUGCUGGGGAGUGCUAACAGUGCCUCCUGCAGCCACCUCCCAGAUAAACCACCAGUACUCCCAUCCUUGUUGGAGGGCCUGUUUUUAGGAAAACCCUGACUAAGGCAGGAAGCUCCCCGCACUGCAGCAGAGGGAGUCAGGAUGCUGAGCUCUGGGUGCCCCAGCUGUCUGGCUCACCAGCCAUGAGAUGCCAGGGAAUAAGGGAACCCGAGGAGAAGGAGAGAGAUGAGGGACCAGCUCCUCGGUGGAGGACGCAGAAUACACACAUUUAUUGAUGAGGUUUGCCAUCUUUUAUGGGCACAGUUUGUGGCACCACAAAACAAUUACAAUGGUGACUUUGAAGAUUAUUGAUCACAGAUCACCAUAACAGAUAUAAUGAUGAAAAGGUUUGAAAUAUUGUGAAAAUUAUCAGAAUAUAACAACAAGACACAAAGUGGGCACAUGCUGUUGGAAAAAUGAUGCUGAUAGACUCGCUUGACACGGGGUUGCCAGAAACCUUUAAUUUUUUUUUUUAAAUGCAAUAUUUGUGAAGCACACUAAAAUUAGGUGUGCCUGGGUAUUAUUUAGCUCUGCCUGAGUUUUGAACUUUAUAUAAUGGAGUCAUACUGUAUAUUUUCUUCUGUGCCUUGCUUCUUUUGCUCAAGAAUAUAUUUGUUGGAUUCAUCUAUUUUUAAUGUGAGUGUUUGUGGUUCAUUCAUUCUCACUUCUAAAUAAUACUCCAGUGUAUGAAUAUGCUGCAAUUUAUUUGCCCAGCCUACUGCUGGUGGAAAUUUGGGGUUUGAGCUAUUAUGAAUAUUGCUGUGAAUAUGGAUUUAUGAAACUCAAGGUUUGCUACUCCAAGUGUAGCCCUCAGAACAGUGGCAGAUUUUCAGGGUCCUAUCCCAGAUCUACUGAAUUAGAAUUUGCAUAUUAGCAAAAUUGUAUGCAUGCUAGAGUUUGAUAAGCACUGCUCUAUGUACCUAGGUUUACACUGAGAAGUAGAGUUGUUGAUCCUAAGGUAACCAUGCAUUAAAUCUUACAAUGAACAGGCAAACUGUUUUCCAAAAUGGUUAUGCCCAUUCCCACUCUACCCUAGUGAAGGACCAGAGUUUCUGUUGGCCCACAUUUCAUCAUCUCUUGGUAUUGACAAACUUUUACAUUUUACCAACCUGGUAAGUAUGAGAUGGUAUCUCUGUAGGAUUUUGCUUUUCAUUUUCCUUAUUACAGACAUGUCCCAAAGGAUACCACUGUGAUCUAAGCAGGCCACGCUUGGAGUAGCAGCCGGGAGCCACAGCUUUUCAUAUGGUGAAGGGCCA
rnacentral:lncRNA from 1 species